AGACGUCUACAUUAGAUACCCGGGUAGUCCUAGCCGUAAACGAUACUCGCUAGGUGUCGGCCACGGUGCGACCGUUGUCGGUGCCGUAGGGAAGCCGUGAAGCGAGCCACCUGGGAAGUACGGCCGCAAGGCUGAAACUUAAAGGAAUUGCGGGGGAGCACCACAACGGGUGGAGCCUGCGGUUUAAUCGGACUCAACGCCGGGAAUCUCACCGGAUAAGACAGCUGAAUGAUAGUCGGGAUGAAGACUCUACUUGACUAGCUG
rnacentral:rRNA from 1 species